rnacentral:rRNA from 4 species
GAUUAAGUUAUUAAGGGCGCACGGUGGAUGCCUUGGCACUAGAAGCCGAUGAAGGACGUUACUAACGACGAUAUGCUUUGGGGAGCUGUAAGUAAGCUUUGAUCCAGAGAUUUCCGAAUGGGGAAACCCAGCAUGAGUUAUGUCAUGUUAUCGAUAUGUGAAUACAUAGCAUAUCAGAAGGCACACCCGGAGAACUGAAACAUCUUAGUACCCGGAGGAAGAGAAAGAAAAUUCGAUUCCCUUAGUAGCGGCGAGCGAAAUGGGAAGAGCCCAAACCAACAAGCUUGCUUGUUGGGGUUGUAGGACACUCUAUACGGAGUUACAAAGGACGACAUUAGACGAAUCAUCUGGAAAGAUGAAUCAAAGAAGGUAAUAAUCCUGUAGUCGAAAAUGUUGUCUCUCUUGAGUGGAUCCUGAGUACGACGGAGCACGUGAAAUUCCGUCGGAAUCUGGGAGGACCAUCUCCUAAGGCUAAAUACUCUCUAGUGACCGAUAGUGAACCAGUACCGUGAGGGAAAGGUGAAAAGCACCCCGGAAGGGGAGUGAAAUAGAACCUGAAACCGUGUGCUUACAAGUAGUCAGAGCCCGUUAAUGGGUGAUGGCGUGCCUUUUGUAGAAUGAACCGGCGAGUUACGAUUUGAUGCAAGGUUAAGCAGUAAAUGUGGAGCCGUAGCGAAAGCGAGUCUGAAUAGGGCGUUUAGUAUUUGGUCGUAGACCCGAAACCAGGUGAUCUACCCUUGGUCAGGUUGAAGUUCAGGUAACACUGAAUGGAGGACCGAACCGACUUACGUUGAAAAGUGAGCGGAUGAACUGAGGGUAGCGGAGAAAUUCCAAUCGAACCUGGAGAUAGCUGGUUCUCUCCGAAAUAGCUUUAGGGCUAGCCUCAAGUGAUGAUUAUUGGAGGUAGAGCACUGUUUGGACGAGGGGCCCCUCUCGGGUUACCGAAUUCAGACAAACUCCGAAUGCCAAUUAAUUUAACUUGGGAGUCAGAACAUGGGUGAUAAGGUCCGUGUUCGAAAGGGAAACAGCCCAGACCACCAGCUAAGGUCCCAAAAUAUAUGUUAAGUGGAAAAGGAUGUGGCGUUGCCCAGACAACUAGGAUGUUGGCUUAGAAGCAGCCAUCAUUUAAAGAGUGCGUAAUAGCUCACUAGUCGAGUGACACUGCGCCGAAAAUGUACCGGGGCUAAACAUAUUACCGAAGCUGUGGAUUGUCCUUUGGACAAUGGUAGGAGAGCGUUCUAAGGGCGUUGAAGCAUGAUCGUAAGGACAUGUGGAGCGCUUAGAAGUGAGAAUGCCGGUGUGAGUAGCGAAAGACGGGUGAGAAUCCCGUCCACCGAUUGACUAAGGUUUCCAGAGGAAGGCUCGUCCGCUCUGGGUUAGUCGGGUCCUAAGCUGAGGCCGACAGGCGUAGGCGAUGGAUAACAGGUUGAUAUUCCUGUACCACCUAUAAUCGUUUUAAUCGAUGGGGGGACGCAGUAGGAUAGGCGAAGCGUGCGAUUGGAUUGCACGUCUAAGCAGUAAGGCUGAGUAUUAGGCAAAUCCGGUACUCGUUAAGGCUGAGCUGUGAUGGGGAGAAGACAUUGUGUCUUCGAGUCGUUGAUUUCACACUGCCGAGAAAAGCCUCUAGAUAGAAAAUAGGUGCCCGUACCGCAAACCGACACAGGUAGUCAAGAUGAGAAUUCUAAGGUGAGCGAGCGAACUCUCGUUAAGGAACUCGGCAAAAUGACCCCGUAACUUCGGGAGAAGGGGUGCUCUUUAGGGUUAACGCCCAGAAGAGCCGCAGUGAAUAGGCCCAAGCGACUGUUUAUCAAAAACACAGGUCUCUGCUAAACCGUAAGGUGAUGUAUAGGGGCUGACGCCUGCCCGGUGCUGGAAGGUUAAGAGGAGUGGUUAGCUUCUGCGAAGCUACGAAUCGAAGCCCCAGUAAACGGCGGCCGUAACUAUAACGGUCCUAAGGUAGCGAAAUUCCUUGUCGGGUAAGUUCCGACCCGCACGAAAGGCGUAACGAUUUGGGCACUGUCUCAACGAGAGACUCGGUGAAAUCAUAGUACCUGUGAAGAUGCAGGUUACCCGCGACAGGACGGAAAGACCCCGUGGAGCUUUACUGUAGCCUGAUAUUGAAAUUCGGCACAGCUUGUACAGGAUAGGUAGGAGCCUUUGAAACGUGAGCGCUAGCUUACGUGGAGGCGCUGGUGGGAUACUACCCUAGCUGUGUUGGCUUUCUAACCCGCACCACUUAUCGUGGUGGGAGACAGUGUCAGGCGGGCAGUUUGACUGGGGCGGUCGCCUCCUAAAAGGUAACGGAGGCGCUCAAAGGUUCCCUCAGAAUGGUUGGAAAUCAUUCAUAGAGUGUAAAGGCAUAAGGGAGCUUGACUGCGAGACCUACAAGUCGAGCAGGGUCGAAAGACGGACUUAGUGAUCCGGUGGUUCCGCAUGGAAGGGCCAUCGCUCAACGGAUAAAAGCUACCCCGGGGAUAACAGGCUUAUCUCCCCCAAGAGUUCACAUCGACGGGGAGGUUUGGCACCUCGAUGUCGGCUCAUCGCAUCCUGGGGCUGUAGUCGGUCCCAAGGGUUGGGCUGUUCGCCCAUUAAAGCGGUACGCGAGCUGGGUUCAGAACGUCGUGAGACAGUUCGGUCCCUAUCCGUCGUGGGCGUAGGAAAUUUGAGAGGAGCUGUCCUUAGUACGAGAGGACCGGGAUGGACAUACCUCUGGUGUACCAGUUGUCGUGCCAACGGCAUAGCUGGGUAGCUAUGUGUGGACGGGAUAAGUGCUGAAAGCAUCUAAGCAUGAAGCCCCCCUCAAGAUGAGAUUUCCCAACUUCGGUUAUAAGAUCCCUCAAAGAUGAUGAGGUUAAUAGGUUCGAGGUGGAAGCAUGGUGACAUGUGGAGCUGACGAAUACUAAUCGAUCGAAGACUUAAUCAA